rnacentral:rRNA from 1 species
UACGUAGGGUGCAAGCGUUAAUCGGAAUUACUGGGCGUAAAGCGUGCGCAGGCGGCUUUGCAAGACAGAUGUGAAAUCCCUGGGCUCAACCCAGGAACUGCACCUGAAACUACCAGUCUUGAGUGGUGGAGAGGGAAGUGGAAUUCCUGGUGUAGAGGUGAAAUUCGUAGAUAUCAGGAGGAACACCAGUGGCGAAGGCGGCUUCCUGGACACCAACUGACGCUGAGACGCGAAAGCGUGGGGAGCAAACAGG